rnacentral:misc_RNA from 1 species
CACAAAUACAUGUAUACAGAUACAUCGAUCUUCGACUAAAUUCCAUGCCAAACGCAUAUAUAAAGGUAUCUGCCGAUAGGAAAUCAAUAUAAGUGGAUCAGACGCAGACAAGGAACAGGACGGUAUUAAGAUGUUGCGGCUAAUUUGCCUAUUACCAUGCCUUGUAGCCUUGACAACGGGUCGAAUGAUAUAUAAUCCAUACAAUGUGCAAAGAGUGAUGAAUCCCUAUCAAAACAACUACGGGUAUAACCCACUGGCGAAUAUAGCUGGCAAUGUACACCAACUGGGACAUCAUAGGAACAACUUUCGGGGGAAUGGUCAAGAGAUAAGCAGUCAAUUUAUAAGCGACAUACAAGAAAGAAACGAACAGAUGAUCAGCGACUUACGAUCGAGGGAAGAACAGCGGAUGAGUGACUUAAGGUCACAACAAGAGCAGCUGAUAAGCGAUCUAGGUGGAUCUGAAUUGGAACCUCGGCUCACACAACAAUGGUGGUGAAUUGAUAAAUACUAAACAAGCGAUUUAUUCUUCAAUACAAAGUAGUCCAAUCGUAUUCUUUAUGCAGAUUUUUCUCAAAUACCUUUUACUUAGUAAAUGAUAUAUUAAUUAUAAUAUAAUUGCAAUUAUAAACUGAA